GCUUCCCUGUCACUUCUCUGUCUCUCUUCUCCUGCUGAGCUGUGUUUCAUGGCAGUAAUUACCGUAGUUGGUGCUGCUGGACUUGCCACCUUGGUUUUGUGGUUUGGCAAAGUAUUGGCCUCAAUCACCAUAACAACCAGACCUUCUGCCUCCAAAAUUUCUUCCUUUCAUGAGUCCAAAAUAUGAAGGCUGAUUGUUGUAAUUGCCAAAAUCAUUAUAGCUUCCACCACUUCCAAAGCUGUUUCCAUCUUUACCAAAUCCAUUAUAGCCACCCCCAUUGCCACCACCUUGACUGCCACCAAAGCCACCAAAUUUUCCUGCAUAACUAAGUUGUCAUUUCCACCAUGGCUUCCAUGACCACCACCAAAGUUUCCAGAACACCUUCGACCUCUUUGGCUGGUUGAAGCAUUAGCCAUCCCUUGUUUAGUAGGGCUUUCCUUCCUUCACAGUAUGGUAUUUUUGAAUGACAUUCUUAUCUACAGAGUCAUGGGUCACCAAAUGUUACAAAACCAAAGUCUCUCUUGCCACUGCCUUGGUCAGUCAUUAUUUCAGUCACUUGAAUUUUCCCAUAUUGUUGAAAAUAAUCUCUUAGAUGGUGUUCUUCAGUGUCUUUAGUGCCACCAACAAAAAUAGUUUUCACAGUUAAGUAGACACCAGGUCUUUGAGACUCUUUUCUUGAGACAGCCCUCUUUGGUUCCACAACUCUCCCAUCCACCUUGUGUGGCCUUGCAUUCAUGACUGCAUCCACUUCCUCCACCAUGGCAUAUAUGACAAACCCAAAGUUUCUGAAGUAUUUGGUGUUUGGAUCUCUCAUUCCCACAGGGUUUGUAAGUGUUUGCCAUUGCUCAUAAUGGCUCCUCAGACUCCCAUCUGUUGUUUCAAAGCUCAAACCUCUGAUGAGGAGCUUCUGAAGCUGUUCAGGUUCCUUGGGAGACUCUGACUUAGACAUAACAGUAGUGGAAGGGGAGACUUCAGUGAUGCUUACUAGAAGGCAUCCGUGAGCAGAAA
rnacentral:lncRNA from 1 species